rnacentral:rRNA from 1 species
UACGUAGGUGGCAAGCGUUGUCCGGAUUUAUUGGGUUUAAAGGGUGCGUAGGCGGUUCUCUAAGUCAGUUGUGAAAUACUUCAGCUUAACUGGAGAGGUGCAAUUGAUACUGGAGAACUUGAGUACUGAUGAGGUAGGCGGAAUGGACGGUGUAGCGGUGAAAUGCUUAGAUAUCGUCCAGAACACCGAUAGCGAAGGCAGCUUACUGAGGAGGAACUGACGCUGAGGCACGAAAGUGUGGGGAUCAAACAGG